CGAAGGAUCCAAGCGUUGUCCGGAUUUACUGGGUUUAAAGGGUGCGUAGGCGGACUUUUAAGUCAGUGGUGAAAGCCUGUAGCUUAACUAUAGAAUUGCCAUUGAAACUGAAAGUCUCGAGUGUGGUUGAGGUAACUGGAAUAUAUCAUGUAGCGGUGAAAUGCUUAGAUAUGAUAUAGAACACCAAUUGCGAAGGCAGGUUACUGAGCCAUUACUGACGCUGAGGCGCGAAAGCGUGGGGAUCAAACAGGAUUAGAUACCCUGGUAGUCCACGCCGUAAACGUUGCAUACUCGAUCUUAGCGAUACACAGUUAGGAUCCAAGCGAAAGCGUUAAGUAUGCCACCUGGGAAGUACGAUCGCAAGAUUG
rnacentral:rRNA from 1 species